ensembl:lincRNA Ftx Ftx transcript, Xist regulator (non-protein coding)
CCGCGUCCGCCGCCUGAAGGAAGCUUCUUUUCCCGCGCCUCGCGCGCUAGCGCGGGUGGCAGAGAAGGAAGUGACGCACCGGGAUUUUAUUGGCUGCAGACACACGCAGCAUCUUCUUGCGCUCCUCCUUGAGGUGGAUGGGCAGCUAGCUGGAGAUGACACAGGAUGAUGCGCAUCUUUCGCACGCUGGCUCCAAGAUCUCCGCUGCCAGUGACUUCAACAGAAGUGGAGUAAAUAAAGAUGAUCACAGAACUUGGAAGCUGACGAAAUUAAUUUUGGAAAAGAGCUGGCUUGGAGCAUGACAGAAGAAUUCGAUGGAAAGAGUGCUGGGAGCCCAACUCAAGACUGAUGUGUGCUUGGCAGGCAGUCUACCCCCGAUCUCAGUCCUCCAGCCUUUCGGCCUUUUUUCCUUUUUGGAGACAGAAUUGCAUCAUAUGGCAUCCUACACAGUCCUGCCUCAGUCUCUGCAGUGCUGGGAUUGUAGGCCUAUGCCACCUAGCCUUUCUACAAUACAAACAAAUAUGAAAAGAAGAGGGACUUCUUUGGAAAGGAGUACAGGGACUAUGGAAGAGAUGAAAAGAUAAUAUUGUCAGAAAUUAUGCCGCUUUUGAAGAGAUAAACUGAACUCUUGAUUCUGUGAGGUUAUUAAAGAAUAUUAAUUUUCAAAUCACGGUAAAAUCUUGAUUCAGCAACACAUGAGGAUAAUCAUUGUGUCCAUGGAAACCUUGGGAAGCAGUUGAAAGCCUGGUCCCUCUUGCCUGGAGCAUUAACACAACGUGGCUGCAAAGUUAGUCCUUUCCCGCUACCAUCUCCUGAAUACUGGGACUAACUACACGUAUGCACGAACCUGCCCAUCUUUGCCUCUGUUAACAGCUGCCACUGUCUCUUCACGACAUGAUGGCUGACCUAGGUUGGAAGGAACAGAGCCAGUUGGCCAUGGACUGAAACUUUUGGAACUGAUUCUGAGGAGUUAAUGUUUCCAUGAAUAUCUCAGAAGGAGAUGUGGACAAACGAACAGUUAUCUCACUCCUGUAGCUGGCUGAGCUUUUUAAAGAUGGCUAUUCUGAAUUCUUCACAGAUGGCACAGUGUCAGAAUCGUGUGUGGCCUCCUGCUGCCUGAACCAUGCCGCUAAGACAGUUGCCCACUGUGCAGCUUCACACCAUCUGCAGAGAGCAACACUGCAGAGCCUUUGGGAGAGCCUUGCCAGUCGCUGAAAGCCUGGCUGACUGCCAAGCCUUGCACUGUAGACUGAAAAUUGCUCUCUUUGCUGAGCUCAGUACUAACACUUAGAUCUUCAUGGUCUCCUGGGAGACCAUGUCAGCUGCUGUUCAGUGAGAUAAAUUUGGAUCAGCUGAAGAUAUGCACUCUCUAUGCCUUCCUUGACUGUCAGCUAAACAGUGUGCACUCCUGGCUUAGUACAGCCUUGGCUGCUGAGAGCCCCAUUCCUCCCCUGUGCUCUUCAUUGUCCUCAUGAUCUGGCUUUCAUCAUCCAUUAUACUCCUAACACUGGGAGUGAAGUGUCAUUGAAGAAUGUUCAUCAGGCACUACCUCAAAGGGCUGGAGAUGAUUGGUGAAUGCUUUGAUUCUUCAUUCCUCCUAGGACACAUAUCAAGCCCCCAGAAUUUCUCUCUAUCCAGUUGCACCAGUGUGAGGAACUUGACGGUGUCAGGAAAGUGAAACUGCUUCUCUGCUCCAUAUAAAUGUCUGUGCAGAUGCAAAGCCAUGCAUUACAUGGUAGCUCACCUUUAAUCCUAGCACUCAGGAGACAGAGGCAGGAGGAUCUCUCCGAGCUCAAGGCCAGCCUGGUCUUCACAGUGAGUUCCAGGACAGCCAAGGCUACACAGGAAUCCUGUGUACAGGUCCUUGGUAUUGCACUCCUCUCUAUAAACACAACUUGCUUUUAGAAUGUGUGGUUGUUAAGUUGUUCUGUGAAGGAUGGAUAAAGGCUAGCUCACUACUACACCCGUCAGCUUGCUCCUGUCACUUCUUCUCACCUUUGAGCACUUAGCAUCCCUCUCCGUGUUGUCUUUGCUGAAAUGCUUGCUAAGGCGAAGCUCCUCUGUAGCUGUCCUCUAGCCCCAGCCAAGAUUCUUUCAAGAUUUUUCUUUGGCCUUCUGUAAUUUGAAUAUGAUGAAUGUUUUUAUUUAC